UGGUUCUGGCAUCGAUGAAGAACGCAGCGAAAUGCGAUAAGUAAUGUGAAUUGCAGAAUUCAGUGAAUCAUCGGAUCUUUGAACGCACAUUGCGCCCGCCAGUACUCUGGCGGGCAUGCCUGUCCGAGCGUCAUUUCAACCCUCAGGCCCCAGCGGUUUGGUGUUGGGCGUCGGCCGUCCCCGCGGCGGCCGUGCCCCAACUACAGUGGCGGACUCGCUGUUGCCUCCUCUGCGUAGUAAUUUACCUCGCACCGGAAAGACGCGCAGUCCACGCCGUAAAACAACCCAAUUUUUAGAAUGUUGACCUCGGAUCAGGUAGGAAUACCCGCUGA
rnacentral:misc_RNA from 1 species